rnacentral:ncRNA from 1 species
AUAAAAUAAUUAUGUUUUUGGAAAUUUAUUAUAAAUUUAUUUUACAUAUAAAUUUUAGUAUAUAAUUUUAAUUAUUUAAAUAAUAAUUAAUUUAUUUUAGUAGUAAUUAAUAUUAAAAAUUUAAGAAAUUAAGAUUUAGUAAUAUAAAAAUUAAUAACUAAUUUUGUGCCAGCAGUUGCGGUUAGAMAAAAKUUAAAUUAAAUUAUUUCAGUAUAUAAUAAAUAAUUAUAUUAUUAAAAUAAAUAUUAAAUUAUUAAGUGAAAUUUUAAUUUAAUUAAAUUUUAUUUUAAAUUUAUGAUUUAAUAAAUUUUAAUAUAAACUAGGAUUAGAUACCCUAUUAUUAAAAAUUUAAUUUAUAAUACUAAAAUAGUAAAUAAUAAUUUAUUGAAACUUAAAUAACAUGGCGGUAUUUUAGUUCAUUUAGAGGAAUCUGUCUAAUAAUUGAUAAUCCACGAAUAAAUUUACUUAAUUUAUAAUUUUGUAUAUCAUUGUUAAAAAAAUAUUUUUUAGGAAAAAUAAUAUUUAAAAAUUAUAAUAAAAAAUUAAAUCAGAUCAAGAUGCAGAGUAUAAUUAAGAAUAUGAUGGAUUACAUUAAAUAUAUUUAUAUGAAUAAUUUUAUUGUAAUAAAAAUUUGAAGGUGGAUUUAAAUGUAAUUUUAAUUAAUUUAUUAAAAUGAUUAAAAAUUAAAAUAUGUACAUAUUGCCCGUCACUUUCAUUUAAAAAUUGAAAUAAGUCGUAACAAAGUAGAGGUACUGGAAAGUGUUUCUAGAAAGA